ACGAACGCUGGCGGCAGGCCUAACACAUGCAAGUCGAACGCCCUCUUUCGGGAGGGAGUGGCGCACGGGUGAGUAACGCGUGGGAAUCUGUCCUUUGGUUCGGAAUAACCCUGGGAAACUAGGGCUAACACCGGAUAAGCCCUGUGUUGAGAGACAUGGGGGAAAGUUUACGCCGAAGGAGGAGCCCGCGUCCGAUUAGCUAGUUGGUGAGGUAAGAGCUCACCAAGGCUUCGAUCGGUAGCUGGUCUGAGAGGACGAUCAGCCACACUGGGACUGAGACACGGCCCAGACUCCUACGGGAGGCAGCAGUGGGGAAUAUUGGACAAUGGGCGCAAGCCUGAUCCAGCCAUGCCGCGUGAGUGAUGAAGGCCUUCGGGUUGUAAAGCUCUUUUGGCGGGGACGAUGAUGACGGUACCCGCAGAAUAAGCCCCGGCAAACUUCGUGCCAGCCGCCGCGGUAAU
rnacentral:rRNA from 1 species